UGUAACAAAGUUGCCAUAGCGAUUCUCCUUCUGAUAACGCAUAAGGAGACAGUGUAAAUCUUUUAACGCAUUGGAUACAGGGAAGAAACAGAGGAAAAAAGAAGAGAGAAGACCAGAUUAAGAAAAUCUGGUGCGUCCGAGUGGACUCGAACCACCGACCCCCACCA
rnacentral:antisense_RNA from 25 species